GUGGGGAAUUUUGGACAAUGGGCGCAAGCCUGAUCCAGCCAUGCCGCGUGCAGGAUGAAGGCCUUCGGGUUGUAAACUGCUUUUGUACGGAACGAAAAAGCUCUCUCUAAUACAGGGGGUGAAUGACGGUACCGUAAGAAUAAGCACCGGCUAACUACGUGCCAGCAGCCGCGGUAAUACGUAGGGUGCAAGCGUUAAUCGGAAUUACUGGGCGUAAAGCGUGCGCAGGCGGUUAUGUAAGACAGAGGUGAAAUCCCCGGGCUCAACCUGGGAACUGCCUCCAAAACUACUGGGCUAGAGUACGGUAGAGGGUAGUGGAAUUUCCUGUGUAGCGGUGAAAUGCGUAGAUAUGCGGAGGAACACCGAUGGCGAAGGCAAUCCCCUGGGCCUGCACUGACGCUCAUGCACGAAAGCGUGGGGAGCAAACAGGAUUAGAAACCCGUGUAGUCC
rnacentral:rRNA from 1 species